GGUGGCCGGGCCCAGCUCCAGCCCCGCCAAGUCGCAGGGCAGCCUGGUCUGACGCCGUGGCCGGGGAAGGGUGCCAUGUUUCCACUGGGUCUCUAAGAGGAAGCAGCUGGCUGAGCUCCCAGCAGAAGAACACCAGGGACCCAACUUGGAGCGGGCUGUCCCCGUAAGGAAGAAAACUGGCAGAUGACGGCCGGAGGGAGACAGGGCGCCCUGAGGCCCGGCCGGCUGCUGCUGGGACAAAGGGAAGGACCAUGAAGGCCGCCUGGGGCACCUCUGCAAGCCAGCAGGCUGUGUACUCCCCAGCUUUGGCUCCUGCAUAUCCCUCCAUCCGGAAGGUUGUCCCCCAUCUCCGAACAUCCAAACGUGUCGGUCUCUUCCCCUCCAUCUGGAGGACCGGAGCUGGUGUCUG